rnacentral:rRNA from 1 species
CUCAGGGAGGUAGUGACAAGAAAUAACAACACUGGAAAUUUUAUUUCUAGUGAUUGGAAUGAUGGGAAUUUAAACCCCUUUGAGAGUAACAAUUGGAGGGCAAGUCUGGUGCCAGCAGCCGCGGUAAUUCCAGCUCCAAUAGCGUAUAUUAAAGUUGUUGCAGUUAAAAAGCUCGUAGUUGGAUGUCUGCUGGAAGCAAUCAGUCCGCCCUAUUUGUAGGGUGUGCACUUGAUGAAUUCUGGCAUCUAUGUCCUAAUGUGAUAGAUACGGCGGUGUAUAUGGGUUAAUCCUAUAUACCCGUUUUUGUAUAUUAUAUUGGGGUAAUACCGUUACUUUGAGAAAAUUAGAGUGUUUGAAGCAGGCUAAUUGCCUUGAAUACUGCAGCAUGGAAUAACAAUAUAGGAUUUCGGUUCUAUUUUGUUGGUUUCUAGGACUGAAAUAAUGAUUAAUAGGGACAGUUGGGGGCAUUCGUAUUUAGCUGUCAGAGGUGAAAUUCUUAGAUUUGUUAAAGACGAACUACUGCGAAAGCAUUUGCCAAAGAUGUUUUCAUUAAUCAAGAACGAAAGUUAGGGGCUCGAAGACGAUCAGAUACCGUCGUAGUCUUAACCAUAAACUAUGCCGACUAGAGAUAGGAAAAUGUCAUUUUUCUGACUU